AAUGAACGCUGGCGGCGUGCCUAAUACAUGCAAGUCGAGCGAACAGACGGGGAUUGUUCUCCUCUGAAGUUACCGACGGAUGGGUGAUGAACACGUAUCUGACCUACCUAGAAGACUGGCAUAACGUAAGGAAACCUGAUCUAGCACCCGAUAAUAUAUUGAACGGCAGGGUUCAUUAGUCAAAGACGUUUUUGCUGUCACUAAUAGAGAGAACCGGGUCGCAUUAGCUAGUUGGUAAGGUAACGGCUUACCAAGGCUACGAUGCGUAGCCGACCUGAGAGGGUGAUCAGCCACACUGGAACUGAGACACGGUCCAGACUCCUACGGGAGGCAGCAGUAGGGAAUCUUGCGCAAUGGGCGAAAGCCUGAUGGAGCCAUGCCGCGUGAGUGAUGAAGGUCUUCGGAUCGUAAAGCGCUGUAAGUAGGGAGGAAGAAAAGUGUGUGUAUAUCUGGAUGUCUUGACGGUACCUACAGAAUAAGCACCGGCUAACUACGUG
rnacentral:rRNA from 1 species